ACCACCAUGCCCGGCCGUCAGUAGUCUCUUUUAAAAAUAACUUAAUCCUCUAAGACACAAGUGUAGUUUUAUUGUAAAAGAUUCAAACAAUACAACAAAGGAAAAACCCCUUUGAGCACCUUCUCUCUUUUCCCAUAAUCCCAGUCCUCUCCUCAGAGGUAACCACUGAUGUCAGUUUGCUGUAUGGACUAACAGAAAUAGACCUUGGGCAUAUGUUUUGUGUUUCGUUUUUAUUGGUGUUCUGUGUAAUGGUUUUAUGUUGGUUAUGUAGCAUCUUGUAACUUGCUUUUGUGCAGUUAAUGAUUGUCCUGGCAAUCUUGCCAUUAUCAAUAAAUCAUUUCUUAUAAUUGC
ensembl:lncRNA novel transcript, sense intronic to BFSP1